UGGGGAAUUUUGGCCAAGGGGGAAAACCCUGAUCCAGCCAUCCCGCGUGUGCGAUGAAGGCCUUCGGGUGGUAAAGCACUUUUGGCAGGAAAGAAACGUCAUGGGUUAAUACCCCGUGAAACUACCGGUACCUGCAGAAUAAGCACCGGCUAACUACGUGCCAGCAGCCGCGGUAAUACGUAGGGUGCAAGCGUUAAUCGGAAUUACUGGGCGUAAAGCGUGCGCAGGCGGUUCGGAAAGAAAGAUGUGAAAUCCCAGAGCUCAACUUUGGAACUGCAUUUUUAACUACCGGGCUAGAGUGUGUCAGAGGGAGGUGGAAUUCCGCGUGUAGCAGUGAAAUGCGUAGAUAUGCGGAGGAACACCGAUGGCGAAGGCAGCCUCCUGGGAUAACACUGACGCUCAUGCACGAAAGCGUGGGGAGCAAACAGG
rnacentral:rRNA from 1 species